rnacentral:rRNA from 1 species
CAGGCUUAACACAUGCAAGUCGAGGGGCAGCAUGGUCUUAGCUUGCUAAGGCCGAUGGCGACCGGCGCACGGGUGAGUAACACGUAUCCAACCUGCCGUCUACUCUUGGACAGCCUUCUGAAAGGAAGAUUAAUACAAGAUGGCAUCAUGAGUCCGCAUGUUCACAUGAUUAAAGGUAUUCCGGUAGACGAUGGGGAUGCGUUCCAUUAGAUAGUAGGCGGGGUAACGGCCCACCUAGUCUUCGAUGGAUAGGGGUUCUGAGAGGAAGGUCCCCCACAUUGGAACUGAGACACGGUCCAAACUCCUACGGGAGGCAGCAGUGAGGAAUAUUGGUCAAUGGGCGAGAGCCUGAACCAGCCAAGUAGCGUGAAGGAUGACUGCCCUAUGGGUUGUAAACUUCUUUUAUAAAGGAAUAAAGUCGGGUAUGGAUACCCGUUUGCAUGUACUUUAUGAAUAAGGAUCGGCUAACUCCGUGCCAGCAGCCGCGGUAAUACGGAGGAUCCGAGCGUUAUCCGGAUUUAUUGGGUUUAAAGGGAGCGUAGAUGGAUGUUUAAGUCAGUUGUGAAAGUUUGCGGCUCAACCGUAAAAUUGCAGUUGAUACUGGAUAUCUUGAGUGCAGUUGAGGCAGGCGGAAUUCGUGGUGUAGCGGUGAAAUGCUUAGAUAUCACGAAGAACUCCGAUUGCGAAGGCAGCCUGCUAAGCUGCAACUGACAUUGAGGCUCGAAAGUGUGGGUAUCAAACAGGAUUAGAUACCCUGGUAGUCCACACGGUAAACGAUGAAUACUCGCUGUUUGCGAUAUACUGCAAGCGGCCAAGCGAAAGCGUUAAGUAUUCCACCUGGGGAGUACGCCGGCAACGGUGAAACUCAAAGGAAUUGACGGGGGCCCGCACAAGCGGAGGAACAUGUGGUUUAAUUCGAUGAUACGCGAGGAACCUUACCCGGGCUUAAAUUGCAGAUGAAUUACGGUGAAAGCCGUAAGCCGCAAGGCAUCUGUGAAGGUGCUGCAUGGUUGUCGUCAGCUCGUGCCGUGAGGUGUCGGCUUAAGUGCCAUAACGAGCGCAACCCUUGUUGUCAGUUACUAACAGGUUCUGCUGAGGACUCUGACAAGACUGCCAUCGUAAGAUGUGAGGAAGGUGGGGAUGACGUCAAAUCAGCACGGCCCUUACGUCCGGGGCUACACACGUGUUACAAUGGGGGGUACAGAGGGCCGCUACCACGCGAGUGGAUGCCAAUCCCAAAAACCUCUCUCAGUUCGGACUGGAGUCUGCAACCCGACUCCACGAAGCUGGAUUCGCUAGUAAUCGCGCAUCAGCCACGGCGCGGUGAAUACGUUCCCGGGCCUUGUACACACCGCCCGUCAAGCCAUGGGAGCCGGGGGUACCUGAAGUGCGUAACCGCGAGGAGCGCCCUAGGGUAAAACUGGUGACUGGGGCUAAGUC